CCUGUUCAAAUCGCGUUCUCCUCUCCCGUUAACACUUCUCUGGGAAUUGAUGGUUUCCCUUCCCCCGUGUGGCCCAGGUGGGAGGGCAGAGGCGUCUCUGACGGACAAGCCUUGACCCCGGAAGCUUCAGGAACCUACAUUCUGUUGUCUGGGAGCCUCUUGGGUUUGAUUGCAAUCCAAAGGUCCAAUUCUCCUGCCAGGGCAAUACUCAGUCGGAGAGGUCGACCUUGUCCCGCUGGAAGUGUAUGUGAAACUGGCCCAGAAUACCUGAUGGUCUCCCACUCAAAUAAAAGAUCAACUCUGCAGGCUGACCCUCUGCUUACUCGGACGGGAUCCUUAGGCACGACAACGUUGAGAUGUCUGGUCCUGAGCCUCCUUGUCCUCCAUCCCAGGAAGCACGAGAUAACGGACAGGAACGAUAUCCGGGCCAAGAAGAAGAAAGAGCUCACGUUCCCUGAGCUGGAAACCUGGCCCCAUCCGGUUUCAUCUCCUUGAGAAAGCAUCUUUAAGAAGAGUUCUCUACUAAAGCUUUCUACUGGAUCCCACCAGGAUUUUUAGUCACAAACAGGUCUCUCACUUCAUUGCCAUUUGAAAGGAAUCUGAGAGGCUCUCAGUUCCUGGGAAAUAAAUAGUCGAGCACUUACAAUGCUUCCUAAUUAAAGCAAUUGAUAGAAUUUAAGUAAAGAGAGGGUAAGCCUUUAUUGAGCAUUCUUCCCAAGCGAUUAAGACAGAUCGAUCGAUGGAGCUCGGCUUCAUGCUGGCUCGAGGCUGUAAAUUGGGAAAGAAAGAAAGCACCAGACUUUUAUCCUACAUUUACCUCUGUGGAUUUAGGAAGCUAUUAGUGAGAGAAUCAACCAUCUUACAAGAUAUGUAUUUUACUUCUGAUGAGUUUGCCACUGAAGCAGUAAUCAAAGUUAGAGCAAAAACUCUGAAAGAAAAAAAACCCCAAGAAAAUACAACAAAACGAAAAUAAGCUCAAAGAGUAGAACACAUGGGUCUGUUUCCUGGCCAAAUUAAUACAGUCUAAAUGUAAUACUAAUAAUAAUGAUGGUAUUUGUUAAGCGCUUACUAUGUGCCAAGCACCGUUCUAAGCAGUGGAGGAGAUACAAGGGAAUCAGGUUGUCGCAUCUGGGGCUCACAGUCUUAGUCCCUGUUUUACAGUUGAGGUAGCUGAAGCACAGAGAAGUGAAGUGACUUGCCCAAAGUCACCCAGCUGAUAAGUUGUGGAGCCGAAAUUAGAACCCAUGACCUCUGACUCCCAAGCCUGUGUUCUUUCCACUAAUGCACAUGCUUCCCUAAUAAUCUCCUAGAUAGCACUGACUGACUGGAAAGCAAGACAGAAUGACAAUUUUCCAGGUUGGAUUUUGUUACCAAAGCAGAUAGACAAUACAGCAGGUUAAUAAAGCAAGUAGACAACGUACCGUCCAGCAGGUUGCUUUAACUGAACUGGAAGCCGAGUGCUAAAUGAACUGACCUCUCCUCGUCUCCCCAGCUCAGAUUCUCCGAUCCAGCCCCUUAGGGGUGGGGGGAAUCCUGCCUGACAUCUCCUUCAUUUCCUCCUACCACACUGCUCUCUUCUCCCCCGGUCCCUCAUCGACUGGAAACCCACCAGCCGGAGGGCGUAUUUAAAAAAUGGCCGUUUUGAGAAGAGGUGUGGAUUGAAAGAAGCUGCUUUACCGAUUGCGGUCCAGAGCCUCUCAGAGCUAAUAGGAGUGACGGAGUGGUAGCUAGUGAGUUCAUCCACCUGGCCCAUAAACUCCUGCUCCAAAAGAUGGCUAACCAAUCAGUUGAUCGAUAGCACUUUGAUACUCAACCCAGCCCCAUGGCACUUAUUUAUAUAUGUCCUUAUACUCUGCCAUUUCUCCAAUCUGUACUUAAAUGCCUUUCUGCCCCUCUAGACCGUAAGCUCUUUUUGGGUGGGGAUCAUGUCUACCAACUCUGCACUGUUGUACUCUCUCAAACAC
rnacentral:lncRNA from 1 species